rnacentral:lncRNA from 1 species
CAGAUUUGGACCUUCUAGGUUUCCACUGUUCCAGAGUCCUAAGGGUCAGAAGUCCUGAGGCCUCAGUAUUGAGCAUCUCUGUGGGUGGCAGGCAGGAUGCUCACAGCGGGUAAUAACCAGUCCUCUUUCCUUCUCCAUCUCUCCUCUCCCUCCUCACCUUCUGACCUUUUUCCUUCCUUCCCUCUCUCCAUUUCUCUCUCUCUGUCUCUCUCUUUCCCUCCUUGUGACCCUCAGGUGUGCCCACUAGUCUGCAGCCUCCUUGAAAGCCUGGAUGCAGAGUAUGUUAAGAACCAUAUUGAAGAGGUUUAUAGACUCCAACAGGAAAACCCACAAAACAGAUGAGGAAAACAGCUGUGAAGCCUGCCUACUGAUUGGUUCCAGGACUUGACUGAAUCUCUGUACCAUCUCCCUCUGGGACGGUCAGUGCUGCCACCAUCCCGCAGGAGUGACAACUGAGCCCAAUCAAAGGACACCUCUCAGAUACUCAUGCUCACAGUCAGGACACCCUAUGCUUGUCACCCUCCACCCCCAGCAAUAAAGAGCCAUUUCUGUACCUCCUGCAUGCCCCAUUGCAUUCCUUCCAUUGGGAUU